rnacentral:rRNA from 1 species
AUGCUUGAUAGCCCGCAUGCUGAGGAGUUGCAACUUAGAAGACUUAAUUAUGGGGUGGUUACUCUGAUUCCUAAAACGAAAGAUGCUGCAACUAUCAAGCAAUAUCGGCCAAUAUGUUUAUAUUAUGUUUGUUAUAAAAUUGUGACUAAAGUACUGACAAAUAGGCUUGAGAGAGUUGCAGAUAAGGUGGUGAGUAAGAGUCAGACGGCAUUUAUGAAAAACGGAAAUAUUUUAGAUGGGGUGGUCACUAUCCAUGAGGUGUUUCAUGAGCUUAGGAGGACUAAACAAGAGGGGGUCAUACUAAAGCUAGACUUUGAAAAAGCAUAUGACAGGGUGAAUUGGGAUUUUCUACAAGAGGUUUUGCUUAAAAAGGGUUUUCUUUAG